UACGUAGGGUGCAAGCGUUAAUCGGAAUUACUGGGCGUAAAGCGUGCGCAGGCGGCUUUGCAAGACAGAUGUGAAAUCCCCGGGCUUAACCUGGGAACUGCAUUUGUGACUGCAUGGCUGGAGUGCGGCAGAGGGGGAUGGAAUUCCGCGUGUAGCAGUGAAAUGCGUAGAUAUGCGGAGGAACACCGAUGGCGAAGGCAAUCCCCUAGGCCUGCACUGACGCUCAUGCACGAAAGCGUGGGGAGCAAACAGG
rnacentral:rRNA from 1 species